GUGGGGAAUUUUGGACAAUGGGCGCAAGCCUGAUCCAGCAAUGCCGCGUGCAGGAAGAAGGCCUUCGGGUUGUAAACUGCUUUUGUACGGAACGAAACGGUCCUGGCUAAUAUCCGGGGCUAAUGACGGUACCGUAAGAAUAAGCACCGGCUAACUACGUGCCAGCAGCCGCGGUAAUACGUAGGGUGCAAGCGUUAAUCGGAAUUACUGGGCGUAAAGCGUGCGCAGGCGGUUUUGUAAGACAGAGGUGAAAUCCCCGGGCUCAACCUGGGAAUUGCCUUUGGGACUGCAAGGCUGGAGUGCGGCAGAGGGGGAUGGAAUUCCGCGUGUAGCAGUGAAAUGCGUAGAUAUGCGGAGGAACACCGAUGGCGAAGGCAAUCCCCUGGGCCUGCACUGACGCUCAUGCACGAAAGCGUGGGGAGCAAACAGGAUUAGAAACCCCUGUAGUCC
rnacentral:rRNA from 1 species